CUCUUCUCUCACCUUUCUCAACCCCAUCUCUCUCGCCUCUGUUUGUUCCUUGGAGCCGCCCCCGCCGCCCACGCCACCGGUCGCCCCUGCCCCGACCCCUUCCGCCGCGGUCGCGACCGCCCCCGACCCCAGCCCUGCCCGACGCUUCCGUUUCCUUGGAUAACCACAACGCUCGCCCGCCCGCCGGCAAGCGAAAGCAAAGCGAGCCAACCUAGCCAUGGAGAAGGCGAUCUAUCGGUAGCGGGUCCUCCUGGCGCACCUUCUCCCCUCCUCCUCUACCAUCUCCU
rnacentral:lncRNA from 7 species